GGGGGGGCGAGGAAUAGCCUAUUAGCAGGGGCCCGGUAGCGUCAGCGCCCCGUGGGCAGGAGCGAUUCCACGCGAACGAAAGGGAAAAAGAAAGCCGGGGCCGGGAGAACUUCGAGGCGUAUCCAUCACCCUCCGUGCCCAGACGCACAGCCAAGUGGAUGCCUUCCCUCCGCGAGGGCUCCUCCUCCCGUGUGAGCCUCGAACCCCCGGCGUCCGCGCGGGGUGAGCCUGCGGACGGCCGGAGAGCUCCCCUGGGAGCGGGAGCGCGGUCUGGGGGCGCCGGGGGGGCCCGGAGGAAGGCAGCCUUGCAGGGUGGUGCGCUCGUCUACAACAGCAACCUGUGGCGUCGGGCUUAACCGCCGCCCAAGUCUUCGUGCACCCAAGGCUCAGGCAGUUUUCACAGCAGCUGUUAUAAUGAUUAGUAACUGGAAAUGGAGAAUUUAGAUACGACAUUAGAAAGAGAAAAAGGGGGACUUUCCCCCUUGCAUCCUACAACUUGCAAGAGCGAGUGAGUUCUCGCUCUUCAUCGAAUUCCUAUUCUGGUUCCUGGGAAGUUAUUUCUUGGGAAGACACUCUGGAUGCAGGACUCAUAAGCCAACUACUGGAUAAGCUAUUUCCUGGGCUAGCAUUUUUUGGUAGGGCUCGGAUGUGCUCGGGUGGGAAGGAUGCAACACAAGCAUCAGAAAGUGUAAAAAAAAAAAAAAAAAAAAAAAA